rnacentral:rRNA from 1 species
GACGAACGCNGGCGGCGUGCCUAAUACAUGCAAGUCGAGCGAAGUUUUUCUGGUGCUUGCACUAGAAAAACUUAGCGGCGAACGGGUGAGUAACACGUAAAGAACCUGCCUCAUAGACUGGGACAACUAUUGGAAACGAUAGCUAAUACCGGAUAACAGUAUUUCUCGCAUGAGAGAUGUUUAAAAGUUGGUUAUGCUAACACUAUGAGAUGGCUUUGCGGUGCAUUAGCUAGUUGGUGGGGUAAAGGCCCACCAAGGCGACGAUGCAUAGCCGACCUGAGAGGGUGAUCGGCCACACUGGGACUGAGACACGGCCCAGACUCCUACGGGAGGCAGCAGUAGGGAAUCUUCCGCAAUGGGCGAAAGCCUGACGGAGCAACGCCGCGUGAGUGAAGAAGGAUUUCGGUUCGUAAAGCUCUGUUGUUAGGGAAGAAUGGAUAUGUAGUAACUAUACAUAUAAGAGA